rnacentral:rRNA from 1 species
GCAGGCCUAUGCUCGAAUACAUUAGCAUGGAAUAAUAGAAUAGGACGUGUGGUUCUAUUUUGUUGGUUUCUAGGACCGCCGUAAUGAUUAAUAGGGACAGUCGGGGGCAUCAGUAUUCAAUUGUCAGAGGUGAAAUUCUUGGAUUUAUUGAAGACUAACUACUGCGAAAGCAUUUGCCAAGGAUGUUUUCAUUAAUCAGGAACGAAAGUUAGGGGAUCGAAGACGAUCAGAUACCGUCGUAGUCUUAACCAUAAACUAUGCCGACUAGGGAUCGGACGGUGUUAUUUUUUGACCCGUUCGGCACCUUACGAGAAAUCAAAGUGCUUGGGCUCCAGGGGGAGUAUGGUCGCAAGGCUGAAACUUAAAGAAAUUGACGGAAGGGCACCACCAGGGGUGGAGCCUGCGGCUUAAUUUGACUCAACACGGGGAAACUCACCAGGUCCAGACACAAUGAGGAUUGACAGAUUGAGAGCUCUUUCUUGAUUUUGUGGGUGGUGGUGCAUGGCCGUUCUUAGUUGGUGGAGUGAUUUGUCUGCUUAAUUGCGAUAAC